CUGCACUGAAGCACCAGGCAGCUGGGCGCUACCUACCCCUUCUGUCACCUCUACAAGACAGGAGCUCUUGAUCUGUUUGCCAAUGAGAUCCAGAAAUUCUUUGCUCUCUGAGGAUGAUGACUGAUUCUAAGGUCCUGGACAUUCACAACAGCCUCCUGGCCACUCUCCUGCCUGCUCUGCUUGCACUUCCUGGCCACCCUGAAACCCACCCUGGAAGACUACCAAAUCUAAAGUAACUUUGUUAUUAAAGGAUAUGCAUAUAUAGAAAAAAUUAGAUAAUGCAGAAGAACAGAUCUGCGAACUAGAAGAGUGAGUAGUGGAAAUCACUAAAA